rnacentral:siRNA from 1 species
UGUCUCAAAGAGGAUUGGUUG